GGCACAUUUUAUUAAGUUGUGCUUAAGGCACAUUUUAUGAAAGUGCCAACCACCCUAAAUAGGAAAGUUUGGACUGUAGUGAUUGGCUGAGAACUACUCCAUUUCCUUUUCUUUCUUUCACACUUCUUUUUCUUAUUCCCUGGUGCCUUACUCCCAGCGCAGGAUAUCAGCAGCAGCAACAUUGUGUCAACUAUUAGCAAGUUUUCUUCUCCUCCUCUCUCGCUCCUUGCAUUUUUCCUCUUAGUGCACCUUGCUGUUUUCCUCCCUACGCAUCCUAUAAGCAAUAACAAGCCAGCAGGAGUGAUUACAGCAAAUCUAUAGCAGCUUAAUUGGAGGCCAAAUUGACCUAAUUUGUACCUUUGCAUUGCUCAAUUGGAGCUUGCUCGAGCUAUGGAUGAUGGAGAAGAGCUUGGGGAUUGGUUUCUUGCUACUAGAUUAGAGUUCUUGUGCAAACGGCGCGGCAACACCAUCAAUCUGCUAGUAGCAGCAGCAUGCUGCCAGCAGCAACGGUAGCAGGGUAGUAGCCAAUUGGAGGCUCCAAUUUCGAAAUGAAAGUUGUUUAGAAUAAGGGAGGGACUAGUGGAGUUCAGUCUACAGCUCUUUCUAGCUGGAAUUGUAGCUUCAAGUUACUGUUAUGAGUUCCUGAGGGUGCUCUUGUGGAGGAGAUGAACUUGUGGACUAAUCCUUUCUACCGAAUUUCAGGUCAGUUGACUCAAAAUUGAUGUAGUUCUGCUCCUUGAGCUGAAAUUGAGUGUUUAGAUGGAUUUUAGUUAUUCUUCAUUGUUCGAUUCUUGUAGCUAAGCGUUGAAUGGAUCUUGGUUGACUUCUUCU